rnacentral:rRNA from 1 species
AAGACCUUGCACUUUUGGAGCGGCCGAUGUCUGAUUAGCUAGUUGGUGGGGUAAAGGCCUACCAAAGCUUCGAUCAGUAGCUGGUCUGAGAGGACGGCCAGCCACACUGGGACUGAGACACGGCCCAGACUCCUACGGGAGGCAGCAGUGGGGAAUUUUGGACAAUGGGCGCAAGCCUGAUCCAGCCAUGCCGCGUGAGUGAAGAAGGCCUUCGGGUCGUAAAGCUCUUUCAGCCGGGAAGAAAAGGCUGCGACUAAUAAUCGCAGUUCAUGACGGUACCGGAAGAAGAAGCACCGGCUAACUACGUGCCAGCAGCCGCGGUAAUACGUAGGGUGCGAGCGUUAAUCGGAAUUACUGGGCGUAAAGGGUGCGCAGGCGGUUUUGUAAGUCAGAUGUGAAAUCCCCGGGCUUAACCUGGGAACU